ensembl:miRNA xtr-mir-9-3 xtr-mir-9-3
GUUUCUAUCUUUGGUUAUCUAGCUGUAUGAGUGUAAAUAAGCCGUCAUAAAGCUAGAUAACCGAAAGUAGGAAUCA